UACGUAGGGUGCAAGCGUUGUCCGGAAUUAUUGGGCGUAAAGAGCUCGUAGGCGGUCUGUCGCGUCUGCUGUGAAACUCAGGCUUAACCUGAGCUUGCAGUGGGUACGGGCAGACUAGAGUGCGGUAGGGAGACUGGAAUUCCUGGUGUAGCGGUGAAAUGCGCAGAUAUCAGGAGGAACACCUGAGGCGAAGGCGGGUUGCUAGGCUGAACACUGACGCUGAGUGCGCGAAAGCCAGGGGAGCAAACGGG
rnacentral:rRNA from 1 species